AUUGAACGCUGGCGGCAUGCUUUACACAUGCAAGUCGAACGGUAACAGGUUAAGCUGACGAGUGGCGAACGGGUGAGUAACGCAUCGGAACGUGCCCGAUCGUGGGGGAUAACGCAGCGAAAGCUGCGCUAAUACCGCAUAAGAUCCGAGGAUGAAAGCGGGGGACUUUAUAGCAAUAUGAGGCCUCGCGCGAUCGGAGCGGCCGAUGUCAGAUUAGGUAGUUGGCGGGGUAAAGGCCCACCAAGCCGACGAUCUGUAGCUGGUCUGAGAGGACGACAAGCCACACUGGGACUGAGACACGGCCCAGGCUCCUACGGGAGGCAGCAGUGGGGAAUUUUGGACAAUGGGCGCAAGCCUGAUCCAGCAAUGCCGCGUGCAGGAAGAAGGCCUUCGGGUUGUAAACUGCUUUUGUACGGAGCGAAAAGGUCUUCUCUAAUAAAGAAGGCUGAUGACGGUACCGUAAGAAUAAGCACCGGCUAACUACGUGCCAGCCGCCGCUGUAACAC
rnacentral:rRNA from 1 species